ensembl:lncRNA
AUCCUGUAAGUUAAACAUUUGAAGCUGCAAAACCAAUUGCAAUUUUCAUUUUACACGGAUUUUAUUUUCUUGUUUUAUUUGCAUCUUAUCUGGUUCAUCUACUCUCUCUCUCUUUAAAUAGAAGACAUUUCAAUUAUUAAAUUUCUUAUUUUCUUUCGGUAGUCCUAAUCAUUCUGUUAGCUGCCCCUUUCUUUUCAACUCAUUGUAGUCCUCGUCAAUAUCCCUGGCUGACUUCAAACACAUGAAUAUGUAUGUUCUCAAAGGGCAGAGAGGCCCCCACCAGGGCGGCCGGCAGUCUAAAGGCAGAGAACAAGCAAAACAUGUGAGCUCUUAUUCUGAUAUUGCAUAACCUUGAUUUGGUCACCAACUGGUUUUCUCACUCCUCACUUCUGAAACAGGGACAAACAGAUCAACUCUCCUAUCAAUUUCCCAAGGAUGGUGUUAAUUUCAUAAUCUACCUAAUUACACAAUCUAUAGACAAGAACUUUCAACUUUAGGAGGAGUGUUAUUAUACUCGAGGUGAUUCAAAUAAAUGAUUCUUAUCUUAGAAUUUCUGGUAAACAUUUAUUAGUAACUUUGGGGUAUAUUUGUAUGUUAGUAAAAUUUGUAACUACUGUAGAAGUGAUUACAUUUACUCUGUAUUCAAAAGGGCUAGGGUUUUAAUGCCUGCAUUUCAUAGGGUUUUACCCUUAGGGAUGAAGGUUGCUGAAAAUAUUAAAAUCACCUUUAAAAUGACCCAGAGGUGUCUCUGCCUCUUGCUCCCAAUGGUAACCACCAGUGUCAUUGAUUCAAGGGUAGACACUGGGCUAAUUAAGAAUUAGUUUGAUGACAUCUGUAUUAAUUUUGAAAUAUAUAAAAUCUUACUUGAUAUAUUUGACAAACUGAGCUCCAAAGGGUUUUCUUUUAAAUUCAAUGUGAGCUUGAGUUUGUGAGUCAAAUGGAUACAUUAAAAUAUCUUUAAGAUGAGGUUAAAAUUUGUUUAAGAUCAUGCUUGCCGUGAAAGGCAUAAACCAGCCUACCUGCUUUGUGAAUAUAUCAGACAAAUGCUGUUCAUGAUCCUAUGCAUUUUAUCUUCUAUGGGGCCAGCUCCACUCAGCGUUUUACUGGUUUAUAAGAGAGAUCUACACAGAUAAGAGUUGAUAUUUGACCAGGUAAAGAGGUGCAGGAGGAUUUUUAUUCAUUUUUCUGAUGCAUUCAUUCCUUUUUUUAUGUCUUCUUUUCCACUUUUGUCUAUCAGGAAUGGUAAUUUUUUACAGCAAUUCCAGCAUGUACAUUGCUUGUGCCAUUUUCAUGUCUCAGCUGGCUGGAAAGUACGUGUAUACUGGACUUUUCAAUGACACACAGGAAAAAAGCAAACUCCCUCAAGCCAAGUGGAAAAGGAUUUAAAACUCAGUGUGAAUCCCUGUUAGGGGCAAGAGAGCCUAUUGCAGAAACAAAGAGUGAAGAGAAAAUUCUAUCCUUGGAAGCCUCACAACAACACAACCACAGCUUUUCACGUAAUAGCUCAAAUGUUCCCACUACAGCCAUUAACAAUGUAAUGAAACAAAUCACUUGCUAUCCGUCACAAUUAUGAUCGAUGGAAUCCAACUGGUCUAACUUGGGAGAAAAGAAUCACAUCUCAAAGUGGAUUCAUUUUAGAAAAUAGCGAAGUUUAGGCGGGAGGGAUGGCACUUAUCUCCCAUAAACAAUAUUGGCAGGCAUUUGAUCUAUCUAAACCAAUAGGUUACUGUCUUGACAUAUCUUUCCCCUGCAAUUUUCCCUUUUAUUUUAUUAGGCCUAGUGGAAGAUUUCUGGCUGCCCGUGUGAAUGAGAGAGCUAAUUUAGGACCACACGGAAAGUAAUAUUGAGAUAAAUAUAGCAAGACUGUAUUAGGAUUGCUCAUUCUUUCUUCUUCAGGUAACUACUCUUGCUGUUUUUUUGCUUUUUUUUUUUUUUUUUUUUUUUGGUUUUCCUUUUUCUGUUUGGGUUUCUGUAUUCCUACUACCUUCAGAAAUCUCUGGGAAUUCUAAGAGUUACUACACUAUUUAGGUGGUAAUAACAAAGACCUCUAUUGAGAGUAGAUAAUGCACUAUAUUGUACAUGGUUUGUAGCCAGUGGCUUUAUGAGUCACUUCAAAAGUCAGUUUUGUUUUAGAAGUUAUGCCUAUGAGUAUAAACAUCUUUUCUCGAGAGGGAAAGAGAUAAUACAGAGGGUGCUGCGUUUAAACUGAUGCACGGGACAAAAUAUAAUCAUAAUCAUAGAUACCACUUACUAAAUACCUGCUAGGCACCAGAUAAGCAUGUAUAUAUGAUGUGAAUUCAUGCUGCAUUCCUGUGGUCUUGGUAGCUCAUUUUUAACCUCAUUUUAUAGACUGGGAAGCUGAGAUUUACAAAGGCUAAGUGUCUUUGUCAAGAGCAAUGCACUAGUAAAUGGAAUUGUAAUUAGAAUGUAGGAAUGUCUUCCUCAGAGUCCUAGUGUUCUAGCCAUUGACAGAAGUUCCUCAAGUUUGGGAAUACUUUCAUGCUUAAGAAUACACAUGCACAUCAGUUAGGGACAUAACACUAAUUGUAGUAACACUACUUACUGCCUCCACAAAGCUUAAAAUCACUGUCACUUUGUGCAGCCAGGGACACCAGUGCAUUCAUCAGCACAGCUCAUAAUGGCCACUAAGUCCAUAAUGGUCCAUAGACAGGACCUACUUAUAUGGUGAUCAAGCAUAUAAUCCAGAAUUAUAUUUAUAUGGUUAUUGAAAGGAAGAUAUGAAAACAUAAACUGAAAAAAAAAUUGCAGUAAAGUACAACCCCUGAGAAUAUGAUCUAUCAUCCUAGCUGGAAAAACUGUGCCCUCCAUCACCCUGACACAAAGGGAGCUCAGGGCUGAGUGCUAUGGCUGCAUUUUGGGAAGUAGAAGGAGAAAAAGUGCUGAUUCUUCUAAACAGAGGCAUGCCUGUUUCCUAAGAGGUAUGCAUUAUGUAAAAACAUCUCAUCACUGACUCCUGAGUUAAAUAGCUGCCAUCCUAACCUUGGAGAAAGUGGGAAUCUAUCCAAAGGGUUAUGAGUAGACACAACAAUCCAAGUCUAGAGGUAUCUUCCCCUCUCUUCAUCUCUCUUUUAGAUAGCAGACAUUCUGAGAAAGGAAUUAAUUUUAGAAGAUGUCUUGACUGAUACAGAAAGAAAAAGAAAAAAUAAAAA